CCUACGGGAGGCAGCAGUGAGGAAUAUUGGUCAAUGGGCGAGAGUCUGAACCAGCCAAGUAGCGUGAAGGAUGACUGCCCUAUGGGUUUUAAACUUCUUUUAUAAAGGAAUAAAACGAGGCACGUGUGCCUUUUUUCAUGUACUUUAUGAAUAAGGAUCGGCUAACUCCGUGCCAGCAGCCGCGGUAAUACGGAGGAUCCGAGCGUUAUCCGGAUUUAUUGGGUUUAAAGGGAGAGGAGAUGGGUUGUUAAGUCAGGUGUGAAAGUUUGCGGCUGAACCGUAAAAGUGCAAUUGAUACUGGCAGACGUGAGUACAGGUGAGGUAGGCGGAAUUCGUGGUGUAGCGGUGAAAUGCGUAGAUAUAACGAAGAACCCCGAUUGCGAAGGCAGCUUACUAAACUGUGACUGACAUUGAGGCUCGAAAGUGUGGGUAUCAAACAGGAUUAGAUACCCGUGUAGUC
rnacentral:rRNA from 1 species